GAGAGGGAGAGGGAGAGAGAGAGAGAGAGAGAGAGAGAGAGAGGUGGAACUUUCUUGGUUCCUUCUUUUCAGAGGGAAUGUAUUUUGUAAUCUGAAUUAAAAAAAAGGGACAAGGGACGAGUAUAUAUUGUAUAUACUAAUAUCACAACGGUCAGAUUUUGAAUAACGAUUUUUUUCUUUUUCUUUUUACUGCUUUUGGCUCCUGUCUCCAACGGCUAUAUUUUCUCCAGCCUUUCUUCGCGUUGUUUCGAUGCUUUUCUCCUUUUUUAACGGCUUCUUCUUAUCAUCAAUGAAAUUUUGUUUUACUGGAUCAAUUUGUUCCAUUGAAUGUGUUUCAAUUUAACGCUUUACAGCAUGACAGCCUCUCUUCACUAAAUGCGUAGUGGUGAGGUGAGCCGAAGAAAUCAAUCAUUUAUUCCUCUCAUUUUUGUAUGUAUAAAUUUAAUCAUAUAUUAUUAUUGAGAAAUUACUUAGAAUGACUCUUAUCAUUCCCUUAAAUACUAUAAUGACUCUUAUAAUUUUGUAAUUACUAGAAUAAAUGGCAGAAUAACCAAAAUUACCAAAAACCCCCCACCCUUCUAAAUAUUAACCACAAAUUUACUAAUAUAAUUAAUAAAAUACAUUUUAAUAUAAAGAAAAAAAAGAAAUUAACAUCACAGAUCUUUCUCCUCACUCACGCAGACCCAAACCUCCAUCUCCAUCUCCAUCUCCAUCUUCAUCUCCAUCUCAAUCUCCCACACCUCCAUCUCUUUGAUUGGUCUAGAAACUCAACCUCCAUCACUUCUAUCCCCGACAACCACUCCACCGUAAAUCGUCUUCAUCUCUGUUUUCCUCCACACUUCCAUCGAGUUCGUCUCGGUCAUCGGCGAGGAAGAAUAACUCGAUUUCCCCUCGGUCCUCCACCAUAAAUCGAGUUACUUGAAUCUGUAUGGCUUCUUCUUCGGGUGAAUGAAAGUAUCCUCGUCGUAUGUAUGAUGUUGGAAAAAUCCCAAUUUAGAGUAGGAGCAUGAACCAUAGUUGUUUCUUGGCCAACAUUCAAACGGUGCUAGAAGCUGUUGGGGAUGAUGUUACGUCUGACUUGAGGGAAUCAGCUGUAGGAGUGAUUGUGAAGCUGAAAGAGUUGGAAUACACUUGGUUUGCUUCUUGCGUUCACCAUUUUCUCGUCAAUCAAAUGGCCAUCGAGAGCAGUCAUGAGAUGUGGUCCUUGAUAGAGUAUGCCGCUGCGGUUCUCUCUGUAUGAGUUUGGAGAGAUUACAGGACUAAAUUGUGAUUCUUUUGACAAGGGUGAGAUUUGGGAUGUGAAGCAUGAAAGUUUUUGGCUGGAGAUGGAAGCUCCGGCUUCGGAAGGACCUACAUUGAAAGAGCUACAAGUCAUUUCACCUAUUUGCAGAAAUUGGACUCGGGAGAACCGAGUGAUGAUAGUUAUAAUUUAAAUGUUGUAGGACGUGUAACAUGGAUGAUUUAUUUCACUACUUGUCUUAUGAUGUAUAACUUG